rnacentral:rRNA from 2 species
AGAGUCGAUGAGUGCUAGGUGUUAGGGGUUUCGAUGCCCUUAGUGCCGAAGUUAACACAUUAAGCACUCCGCCUGGGGAGUACGACCGCAAGGUUGAAACUCAAAGGAAUUGACGGGGGCCCGCACAAGCAGUGGAGCAUGUGGUUUAAUUCGAAGCAACGCGAAGAACCUUACCAGGUCUUGACAUCCUUAUGCCCUCCCUAAAAAUAGGGAUUUCCCUUCGGGGAAAUAAGUGACAGGUGGUGCAUGGUUGUCGUCAGCUCGUGUCGUGAGAUGUUGGGUUAAGUCCCGCAACGAGCGCAACCCUUGAUCUUAGUUGCCAGCAUUUAGUUGGGCACUCUAAGGUGACUGCCGGUGACAAACCGGAGGAAGGUGGGGAUGACGUCAAAUCAUCAUGCCCCUUAUGACCUGGGCUACACACGUGCUACAAUGGAUGGUACAAAGAGCAGCAAAACCGCGAGGUCGAGCCAAUCUCAUAAAGCCAUUCUCAGUUCGGAUUGUAGGCUGCAACUCGCCUACAUGAAGCCGGAAUUGCUAGUAAUCGCGGAUCAGCAUGCCGCGGUGAAUACGUUCCCGGGCCUUGUACACACCGCCCGUCACACCACGAGAGUUUGUAACACCCGAAGUCGGUGGAGUAACCCUUUUGGGAG